CCCCUUUAUGCUACGCACAUGUAUUACAUCAUUUAACCCUCACAAUAUGACUAAUCUUCUAUAGAAUGUUGACGAGUUAAUAGAACCAGCGUAAUUCAUUCACAUCCAGCAAUACAUCAAAUGUCCAUCCACCCUUAUCCUAAGUUGCUCUGGGACCACACAUUGAUUUGCUUAGAGUUACUACGAGGAAGAGGAACAGAAGAACAAGAGUUCCUGCUGGCCUUGGAGGCUCCACACAGGGAAGAGAGUAAAUGGAGACGGUGGUCUGUAACCAAAGUCCAGCCUUCAUGACCACAUAACCUGGAAUAUCACAGCAGCAUCCUAGCCAGCCGUCUUGUCUCCAGUCCUGGUUACUGAUUUCCCCUGGCCACCCUCUCACCUAAUCAGUUUGGCUUUCAUGGUGUCGUAUGUCUGCCCCAAAGCCAUGAGAGCGUCCUACUGUUUGUUAAAUUAACUCCGAGUCCCUCUGCAGAACUUUCAGCUCCCCACAUGCAGGCUUUUCUUUUUCCCUUCUUACUGCAAGCCUCCACUCCUCGAGUCAUCCCUAUAAAGAGGAACCAAAGAUGUUUUCCUUUUAUAACCAAGAAGACUAAGAGCACCCAGAGAGGCUUGGCCAGGUCAAAGCCUUUGGCGGAUCCAGGCUGAGAACCAAUGGCCUCUCCAGUCCUCCGUAUGCUUGCCAGGACAGUCAAACUCCCUCCCUCGGGGAGCCAGGAACCAGGUCCCUUGCAAGCAGCUCAUGGCAGGUCCUGGUUAAGGGAGACAGUGGCGACUCCAUGGAAACUCAGAAUGAGG
rnacentral:lncRNA from 1 species